AGAGUUUGAUCCUGGCUCAGGACGAACGCUGGCGGCGUGCCUAACACAUGCAAGUCGAACGGAACUGUUUUGAAAGAUUUCUUCGGAAUGAAUUUGAUUUAGUUUAGUGGCGGACGGGUGAGUAACGCGUGAGUAACCUGCCUUCAAGAGGGGGAUAACAUUCUGAAAAGAAUGCUAAUACCGCAUGACAUAUCGGAACCACAUGGUUUUGAUAUCAAAGAUUUUAUCGCUUGAAGAUGGACUCGCGUCCGAUUAGUUAGUUGGUGAGGUAACGGCUCACCAAGACCGCGAUCGGUAGCCGGACUGAGAGGUUGAACGGCCACAUUGGGACUGAGACACGGCCCAGACUCCUACGGGAGGCAGCAGUGGGGGAUAUUGCGCAAUGGGGGCAACCCUGACGCAGCAACGCCGCGUGAAGGAUGAAGGUUUUCGGAUUGUAAACUUCUUUUAUUAAGGACGAAAAAUGACGGUACUUAAUGAAUAAGCUCCGGCUAACUACGUGCCAGCAGCCGCGGUAAUACGUAGGGGGCAAGCGUUAUCCGGAUUUACUGGGUGUAAAGGGAGCGUAGACGGCGCAGCAAGUCUGAUGUGAAAGGCAGGGGCUUAACCCCUGGACUGCAUUGGAAACUGCUGUGCUUGAGUGCCGGAGGGGUAAGCGGAAUUCCUAGUGUAGCGGUGAAUUGCGUAUAUUAUUAAGAGGAACACCAGUGGCGAAGGCGGCUUACUGGACGGUAACUGACGUUGAGGCUCGAAAGCGUGGGGAGCAAACAGGAUUAGAUACCCUGGUAGUCCACGCUGUAAACGAUGAAUACUAGGUGUGGGAGGACUGACCCCUUCCGUGCCGCAGUUAAUACAAUAAGUAUUCCACCUGGGGAGUACGAUCGCAAGAUUGAAGCUCAAAGGAAUUGACGGGGGCCCGCACAAGCGGAGGAACAUGUGGUUUAAUUCGAUGAUACGCGAGGAACCUUACCCGGGCUUAAAUUGCAACUGACGGAUUUGGAAACAGAUCUUCCUUCGGGCAGUUGUGAAGGUGCUGCAUGGUUGUCGUCAGCUCGUGCCGUGAGGUGUCGGCUUAAGUGCCAUAACGAGCGCAACCCUUAUCUUCAGUUACUAACGCGUAGAGGUGAGGACUCUGAAGAGACUGCCGGGGACAACUCGGAGGAAGGUGGGGACGACGUCAAAUCAUCAUGCCCCUUAUGACCUGGGCUACACACGUGCUACAAUGGCCACGACAGAGAGAAGCGAAAUCGCAAGGUAGAGCGGAACUCAAAAAAGUGGUCCCAGUUCGGAUUGUGGGCUGCAACCCGCCCACAUGAAGUCGGAGUUGCUAGUAAUCGCGGAUCAGCAUGCCGCGGUGAAUAAAUUCCCGGGCCUUGCACACACCGCCCGUCA
rnacentral:rRNA from 1 species